rfam:Salmo salar isolate Sally breed double haploid chromosome ssa01, whole genome shotgun sequence.
UUCCCCGUAGCUCAGUUGGUAGAGCAUGGUGUUUGCAACGCCAGGGUUGAGGGUUUGUUUCCCACGGGGGACC